GGAAAACUUACCAGGUCCAGACAUAGUGAGGAUUGACAGAUUGAGAGCUCUUUCUUGAUUUUAUGGGUGGUGGUGCAUGGCCGUUCUUAGUUGGUGGAGUGAUUUGUCUGGUUAAUUCCGUUAACGAACGAGACCCCCGCCUGCUAAAUAGGUCCGUGAAUGAAUUUCAUUGACGAGAUCUUCUUAGAGGGACUUUUGGUGACUAACCAAAGGAAGUUGGGGGCAAUAA
rnacentral:rRNA from 1 species